UGACAUUACUAAUAGAUUAAAUAAGAAUAGCAAACACUUACACUAUAUGCUAUAAGCAUAUUGCUAUAUACUGGUCCUCCGUUAAGAGCUUAGUAUGUAUGAGUAUAAUAUACAUUCUUUUUGUUUUGUUUUGUUUUGCUUUUAGAGAUGGGGUCUUGCUAUGUUGCCCAGGCUGUUCUUGAACUCCUGGCCUCAAGUGAUCCUCCUGCCUCGGCCUCCCAAAAUGUUGGGAUUACAGGUGUGAGUUGCUGUGCCCGGCCUUGAUACACAUUCUUUCUCUAAAGCCAUAGACAGAGUUAGGAGCUACUCAAACACUGAGACUCAUAGAAGAACAUAAAAUUCUAGGAUUUCAGCCAGGAGCAAAAUUUUGGAAAAGUCGUUCCUUCAUCUGCUCAGAUUCCACCUCAUUGAGCAUCCUGGAAGUGUGGGCUCCUUCUAGGAUUGGCUUCAAUGUGUAAGCUCUUCAACAUCUAGCUUGAGGCCAUGCACAAGGCCUGGAAAAACUAACAAAGCAACCAACAGGAAAAAAGCUCAAUUUCCCGCAGAUUGUCACCAAAAUCAUAGUUUUUGCUUCCUAGCAACCAGCCGUGAAUUUGAAUAUUUAGGAAGUAUGAUUGGAGUCUCCAAGAUCAUCCUGAUCAAGUAUGGGUGUCUUUGGAAUAGCAGUAACCCAAGGAGAAUUUCCCAACUUGGAUUGGGUAUUGGAGUGGGCACUGGAUUGGGUAUUGGAGUGAACUGUUUACUCUUUUUUAAAAACCAUCUUCAUCGAUAGUUUUAAAAUCAGUGCAUGUUUAACA
ensembl:lincRNA